AAUUUUAAAUUAAUUUUAAAUUUUGAAUUAAAAUAUAGAUUUACUGUAGAUAUUCUGACAAAAAUGUGGAUAAGCAUAAUAUUUUUCUAUUUUAGAGAUAAAAAAUUAAAUAAUUUUUUAAUUAAAAUAUAGAUUCACAGUAGAUAUCUUUCUAUUGUCAAAAAUUUGGAUAAGUAUAUUUUUUUUCUAUUUUAGAGAUUAACAGAAAUGAAAGUUUGUUUCAUUACGUUAUUUAUUUUACGUACGGAAAGAGGAAUCAAUAUUUUUCCCGUUUAAAAAUGGGUCUGUCGACAGACCCAAAUUUGAAAUACGUGCUUUUAUAUAUAGUAUAGAUAUAGUAGAGUUACUAUACUAUCGGAAGUAUAGAGAAUCUGGUGCUUCCGAUUUUUUGGCCGUUAGAUCAGCCGUUUUAAUUAUUUUUAACCUUUGGAUUAAUCCUAUUACCCUGUGGGAACCACUCAACCCUAGGGGUACUACUCAACCCUGGGGGACCACAAUCAUCCCAACCGUAAUUUAGAUUUUUUGGCCGUUAGAUCAGCCAUUUUAAUAAUUUUUAACCUUUGGAUUAAUACUAUUAUCCUGUGGGGACCACUCAACCCUAGGGGUAUACUCAAUCCUGGGGGACCGCAAUCAUCCCAACCGUAUAAUUCUUAAUGUAAGGGUCAAAAUAUCGGAAGUAUCAAAUGCUUUAUGCUCCCGAUAGCAUAGUAGCUCUACAAUAUAUAUAUAUACAGAGAGAGAAAGAGAGAGAGAGAGUUGGACUGGGCUACUAUUAGUAGCAAAAUCCCAUUGUUACUACCAGUUUUUUAGCCUUUGGAUCAACUCUUUUCAUUAUUUCUAACCAUUGAAUUAAAUACUAUAACCCAGUAGGGACCACUCAACCCUAGGGGGACCACUCAACUCUAACCGACUAAUAUCAUCCUGACCCUACAAUUUUUCAUCCAAGAGUUAAAAAUUUGAUAGCAAAAAGUGCGUUUUACUAUUAAUAGUAUUCCAGCCUAAUUCUAUAUAUAUAUAUAGCUAGUCUCCUAUACUAUUUAUAGUAUCGGAGCUACGGUACUAUAGUCUCGUUUUCGAUCUUAGGGUGUUCAAAUCAACGAUCCACACCGUUAAAACUGAUCUAGGGUAUUUAAAUUUUUUAGAAAUAAAAUUUUAUAUUUUUUCGACAUAUUUUACUUUAUGAUCAAACCAUUUCAAAAUUGUCAAUUUUCAAUGGCUACUAUGGCGAGUUUGGAGUUUAACGUGUGGAAGAAUCUAAAUUUCUUCAAAUUUUCAUAGAAAAUACUUUAAACUAUUUAGAUUAAGGUUAACAUUCUUGAUCUUGAAUUUAAAAGUUCUAUACUCAAAUUUUAAAGAUUAUUCAAUUUUCACCGUCCAUUUUGACAUAAUUUAUUUACUAAGUAAACGAUAUCGAAUAAAACUAAAAUGUUAUUCCUAAGAACUUCAUAUACUCUAGAUCAUAUUUAACGGUGUGGAUCGUUAAUUUGAACACCCUAAGAUCAAAAACAAGAUUAUAGUACCGGAGCUUCGGUACUAUAGAUAGUAUAGUAGCCUAAUUUUAUAUAUAUAUAUAUA
rnacentral:lncRNA from 1 species